UGAAAUCUCUGCACACUGCACUUGCAUUU
rnacentral:piRNA from 1 species